AACGUGACCCCCGAGCGUUAUCCGGAAUCAUUGGGCGUAAAGCGUCCGUAGGCGGUUAGGUAAGUCUAUGGUUAAAGCCCUCGGGCUCAACCUGAGGAAGGCUCUAGAUACUACCUGACUUGAGGGUGUUAGGGGCUGAUGGAACGCACGGUGUAGGGGUGAAAUCCGUUGAUAUCGUGCGGAACACCGAAAGCGAAGGCAUUCAGCUGGAGCAACCCUGACGCUGAGGGACGAAAGCCAGGGGAGAGAAUGGGAUUAGAUACCCGCGUA
rnacentral:rRNA from 1 species